rnacentral:rRNA from 1 species
CGGAGGAUGCAAGCGUUAUCCGGAUUCAUUGGGUUUAAAGGGUGCGCAGGUUGUUUGAUAAGUCAGUGGUGAAAGUCUGUCGCUUAACGGUAGGAUUGCCAUUGAUACUGUUGGACUUGAAUAUGGAUGAGGUAGGCGGAAUGUGUAGUGUAGCGGUGAAAUGCAUAGAUAUUACACAGAACACCGAUUGCGAAGGCAGCUUACUAAUCCAUCAUUGACGCUGAGGCACGAAAGCGUGGGGAUCAAA